rnacentral:tmRNA from 1 species
ACCCUUUGCAAGCGCUCCAAGGACGCAUAUAUGUGAGUUGUCCUUAGGGACUAUGGCGAUAAACGCGCUCGCAAUAGACGGCUCGGACCCGGGGGCGGUACCCGGCGGCUCCACCAAAUCUCCCAUCGUUUGUGGGACGGACGGGGCCGAAAUAGGAUCGACGGACGUUCAAAGGGGUUAGCUUUUGCUCGGCGGGGUGCCACCGUACCGGCCCGAAAAGUACAAUUGCAAACGACAAUCGUGCUCCGGUUGCUCUGGCUGCGUAAGCAGUUCGAGAAAUCGAAACUUUAAGCCCUAGGACCUAGCCGUCUUAGGCGGGGUUCGCAGGCACCUGGCAACAGAAGCCUGCACU